rnacentral:rRNA from 1 species
CGAAAGCCUGACGGAGCAACGCCGCGUGCGGGAGGACGGCCUGUGGGUUGUAAACCGCUUUUCUCAGGGAAGAAGAUCUGACGGUACCUGAGGAAUCAGCAUCGGCUAACUCCGUGCCAGCAGCCGCGGUAAUACGGAGGAUGCAAGCGUUAUCCGGAAUUAUUGGGCGUAAAGCGUCCGCAGGCGGUUCAUCAAGUCUGCUGUUAAAGGCCGAGGCUUAACCUCGGUUAAGCGGUGGAAACUGAUGGACUAGAGUGCGAUAGGGGCAGAGGGAAUUCCCAGUGUAGCAGUGAAAUGCGUAGAUAUUGGGAAGAACACCAGUGGCGAAGGCGCUCUGCUGGGUCGCAACUGACGCUGAGGGACGAAAGCUAGGGGAGCG